rnacentral:rRNA from 1 species
UACGUAGGGUGCAAGCGUUGUCCGGAAUUAUUGGGCGUAAAGAGCUCGUAGGCGGUCUGUCGCGUCUGCUGUGAAAACUCAGGGCUUAACCCUGAGCUUGCAGUGGGUACGGGCAGACUAGAGUGCGGUAGGGGGAGACUGGAAUUCCUGGUGUAGCGGUGAAAUGCGCAGAUAUCAGGAGGAACACCGGUGGCGAAGGCGGGGUCUCUGGGCCGUAACUGACGCUGGAGGUGCGGAAAAGCGUGGGGAGCAAAACAGG